UCCCCCAGUAACGGCGAGUGAAGCGGGAAGAGCUCAAGCUUAAAAUCUCCAUACUUGUAUGGCGAAUUGUAGUCUAUUGAGGCUGUUGUCAGCAUCGCGAUCGGGGACAAGUCCCUUGGAAAAGGGCAGCAUGGAGGGUGAUACUCCCGUCUCUGCUCCGAUUUGCGGUGUGUACGAUACGCUUUCUUUGAGUCGAGUUGUUUGGGAAUACAGCUCAAAGUAGGUGGUAAAUUCCAUCUAAAGCUAAAUAUUGGUGCGAGACCGAUAGCGAACAAGUACCGUGAGGGAAAGAUGAAAAGAACUUUGAAAAGAGAGUUAAAGAGUACCUGAAACUGUUGAAAGGGAACCGUAUCGUUUCCAGUGUUUUAUCCUGUGCAUAUUUCAUUCGCGGAGCAAUUUGCGGGUGCCCUGUGCAUGGGUGUGACGUCAGAGUCAGUUUGUAUGCUGCGGGAGAUGGUCAGUGAGGAGGUGCGUCACUUCGGUGAAAGUUAUAUCUCGCUGUCUAGUAGCCGUGGUUGAGACUGAGGUGCCUACAACAUGCCUUGGGGUUUCGUGUUGUCUCGUGUUAAUAACUGCUUUGAUAGCUUGCUAUGUCUGUGGUUUAUUGAUGCGAUUGAUGAUGCGGAUAACCUCUGCUGUUCGGGACUCUGGCGAAAUGGAGCGAUACGACCCGUCUUGAAACACGGACCAAGGAGUCUAACAUGUGUGCAAGUAUUAGGGCGUGGAAACCCAAAUGCGUAAUGAAAGUAAAUGCUGCUUAUGCAGCUGUGGUAGGAAAGGGCUGUCAAGGUCCUGGCACUAUCGACCGAUCAUGAGCCUACGGGCAAAAGAUUUGAGUAUGAGCAUAUAUGUUGGUACCCGAAAGAUGGUGAACUAUGCCUGAAUAGGGUGAAGCCAGGGGAAACUCUGGUGGAAGCUCGUAGCGAUUCUGACGUGCAAAUCGAUCGUCAAAUUUGGGUAUAGGGGCGAAAGACUAAUCGAACCAUCUAGUAGCUGGUUCCCUCCGAAAUUUCCCUCAGGAUAGCAGCAACUUUUUACGAUAGUUUUAUGAGGUAAAGCGAAUGAUUAGAGGCCUCGGGGAAGAAACUUCCUCGA
rnacentral:rRNA from 1 species